rnacentral:rRNA from 1 species
CCUACGGGUGGCAGCAGUCGAGAAUCAUUCACAAUGGGGGAAACCCUGAUGGUGCGACGCCGCGUGGGGGAAUGAAGGUCUUCGGAUUGUAAACCCCUGUCAUGUGGGAGCAAAUUAAAAAGAUAGUACCACAAGAGGAAGAGACGGCUAACUCUGUGCCAGCAGCCGCGGUAAUACAGAGGUCUCAAGCGUUGUUCGGAAUCACUGGGCGUAAAGCGUGCGUAGGCUGUUUCGUAAGUCGUGUGUGAAAGGCGCGGGCUCAAGCCGCGGACGGCACAUGAUACUGCGAGACUAGAGUGAUGGAGGGGGAACCGGAAUUCUCGGUGUAGCAGUGAAAUGCGUAGAUAGCGAGAGGAACACUCGUGGCGAAGGCGGGUUCCUGGACAUUAACUGACGCUGAGGCACGAAGGCCAGGGGAGCGAAAGGGAUUAGAUACCCUUGUAGUC